GGAGGAGUGCCGAAGCGGUCAUAACGGCCUCGACUCGAAAUCGAGUGUACCUCACGGUCCGUGGGUUCGAAUCCCACCUCCUCCG
rnacentral:tRNA from 1 species